rnacentral:rRNA from 2 species
CUUACCAACCCGAUGCAAACUACGAAUACCGAAGAAUGUUAUCACGGGAGACACACGGCGGGUGCUAACGUCCGUCGUGAAGAGGGAAACAACCCAGACCGCCAGCUAAGGUCCCAAAGUCAUGGUUAAGUGGGAAACGAUGUGGGAAGGCACAGACAGCCAGGAUGUUGGCUUAGAAGCAGCCAUCAUUUAAAGAAAGCGUAAUAGCUCACUGGUCGAGUCGGCCUGCGCGGAAGAUGUAACGGGGCUAAACCAUGCACCGAAGCUGCGGCAGCGACACUAUGUGUUGUUGGGUAGGGGAGCGUUCUGUAAGCCGUUGAAGGUGUGCUGUGAGGCAUGCUGGAGGUAUCAGAAGUGCGAAUGCUGACAUAAGUAACGAUAAAGCGGGUGAAAAGCCCGCUCGCCGGAAGACCAAGGGUUCCUGUCCAACGUUAAUCGGGGCAGGGUGAGUCGACCCCUAAGGCGAGGCCGAAAGGCGUAGUCGAUGGGAAACAGGUUAAUAUUCCUGUACUUGGUGUUACUGCGAAGGGGGGACGGAGAAGGCUAUGUCAGCCGGGCGACGGUUGUCCCGGUUUAAGCAUGUAGGCGGAGGUUCCAGGUAAAUCCGGUACCUUAUUAACGCUGAGGUGUGAUGACGAGGCACUACGGUGCUGAAGUGAUAAAUGCCCUGCUUCCAGGAAAAGCCUCUAAGCAUCAGGUAACACGAAAUCGUACCCCAAACCGACACAGGUGGUCAGGUAGAGAAUACCAAGGCGCUUGAGAGAACUCGGGUGAAGGAACUAGGCAAAAUGGUGCCGUAACUUCGGGAGAAGGCACGCUGAUGUGUAGGUGAAGCCCCUGCGGGUGGAGCUGAAAUCAGUCGAAGAUACCAGCUGGCUGCAACUGUUUAUUAAAAACACAGCACUGUGCAAACACGAAAGUGGACGUAUACGGUGUGACGCCUGCCCGGUGCCGGAAGGUUAAUUGAUGGGGUUAGCGGCAACGCGAAGCUCUUGAUCGAAGCCCCGGUAAACGGCGGCCGUAACUAUAACGGUCCUAAGGUAGCGAAAUUCCUUGUCGGGUAAGUUCCGACCUGCACGAAUGGCGUAAUGAUGGCCAGGCUGUCUCCACCCGAGACUCAGUGAAAUUGAACUCGCUGUGAAGAUGCAGUGUACCCGCGGCAAGACGGAAAGACCCCGUGAACCUUUACUAUAGCUUGACACUGAACACUGGUCCUUGAUGUGUAGGAUAGGUGGGAGGCUUUGAAGCGUGGACGCCAGUCUGCGUGGAGCCAACCUUGAAAUACCACCCUUUAAUGGCUGGUGUUCUAACGUAGACCCGUAAUCCGGGUUGCGGACAGUGUCUGGUGGGUAGUUUGACUGGGGCGGUCUCCUCCCAAAGAGUAACGGAGGAGCACGAAGGUUGGCUAAUCCUGGUCGGACAUCAGGAGGUUAGUGCAAUGGCAUAAGCCAGCUUGACUGCGAGCGUGACGGCGCGAGCAGGUGCGAAAGCAGGUCAUAGUGAUCCGGUGGUUCUGAAUGGAAGGGCCAUCGCUCAACGGAUAAAAGGUACUCCGGGGAUAACAGGCUGAUACCGCCCAAGAGUUCAUAUCGACGGCGGUGUUUGGCACCUCGAUGUCGGCUCAUCACAUCCUGGGGCUGAAGUAGGUCCCAAGGGUAUGGCUGUUCGCCAUUUAAAGUGGUACGCGAGCUGGGUUUAGAACGUCGUGAGACAGUUCGGUCCCUAUCUGCCGUGGGCGCUGGAGAAUUGAGGGGGGCUGCUCCUAGUACGAGAGGACCGGAGUGGACGCAUCACUGGUGUUCGGGUUGUCAUGCCGAUGGCAUUGCCCGGUAGCUAAAUGCGGAAGAGAUAAGUGCUGAAAGCAUCUAAGCACGAAACUUGCCCCGAGAUGAGUUCUCCCUGAGACUUUAAGUCUCCUGAAGGAACGUUGAAGACGACGACGUUGAUAGGUCGGGUGUGUAAGCGCAGCGAUGCGUUGAGCUAACCGAUACUAAUGAACCGUGAGGCUUAACCUU